rnacentral:rRNA from 1 species
GAUGAACGCUGGCGGCGUGCCUAAUACAUGCAAGUAGAACGCUGAAGGAAGGAGCUUGCUCUUUCCGGAUGAGUUGCGCACGGGUGAGUAACGCGUAGGUAACCUGCCUGGUAGCGGGGGAUAACUAUUGGAAACGAUAGCUAAUACCGCAUAACAGUAGAUGUUGCAUUAUAUCUACUUAAAAGGUGCAAUUGCACCACUACCAGAUGGACCUGCGUCGUAUUAGCUAGUUGGUGAGGUAACGGCUCACCAAGGCGACGAUACAUAGCCGACCUGAGAGGGUGAUAGGCCACGCUGGGACAUAGACACGGCCCAGACUCCAGCGGGAGGCAGCAGUAGGGAAACUUCGGCAAUGGACGGAAGUCUGACCGAGCAACGCCGCGUGAGUGAAGAAGGUUUUCGGAUCGUAAAGCUCUGUUGUAAGAGAAGAACGAGUGUGAGAGUGGAAAGUUCACACUGUGACGGUAUCUUACCAGAAAGGGACGGCUAACUACGUG